AACGCACAUUGCGCCCUCUGGUAUUCCGGGGGGUAUGCCUGUUCGAGCGUCAUUACAACCCUCAAGCUCUGCUUGGUAUUGGGCUUCACCAUCUGGUGGGCCUUAAAAUCAGUGGCGGUGCCAACUUGGCUUCAAGUGUAGUAAUUUUUCUCACUUCGGAGUCUUUUGGUCACUUGCCAAUAACCCCUAAUUUUUUUUAAGGUUGACCUCGGAUCAGGUAGGGAUACCCGCUGAACUUAA
rnacentral:misc_RNA from 1 species